rnacentral:rRNA from 1 species
GAUGAACGCUGGCGGCGUGCCUAAUACAUGCAAGUCGAGCGAACAGACGAGGAGCUUGCUCCUCUGACGUUAGCGGCGGACGGGUGAGUAACACGUGGAUAACCUACCUAUAAGACUGGGAUAACUUCGGGAAACCGGAGAUAAUACCGGAUAAUAUAUUGAACCGCAGGGAUCAAUAGUGAAAGACGGUUUUGCUGUCACUUAUAGAUGGAUCCGCGCCGCAUUAGCUAGUUGGUAAGGUAACGGCUUACCAAGGCAACGAUGCGUAGCCGACCUGAGAGGAUGAUCGGCCACACUGGAACUGAGACACGGUCCAGACUCCUACGGGAGGCAGCAGUAGGGAAUCUUCCGCAAUGGGCGAAAGCCUGACGGAGCAACGCCGCGUGAGUGAUGAAGGUCUUCGGAUCGUAAAACUCUGUUAUUAGGGAAGAACAAAUGUGUAAGUAACUAUGCACGUCUUGACGGUACCUAAUCAGAAAGCCACGGCUAACUACGUG